UAUUGGAUGACUGAAAGCAAGUGAUGGUCUCUUAAACCACAAUAUAGUAAAUUAGCAAAUUACUUCCAAUAA
rnacentral:tRNA from 1 species